AGUUUUCCAGUUUCGGCCGCAUCCUGCUCUUCUUCACAGUCACGAGCAGGGGUCCAGGGGCUUUUGAAUUCGACACCCGUACGAAAUCGAGCAGCCGAUCACCUUCAUUGUUUAUCCCGCUGACUGGCUUCGCCGACUUCCAAAUUUUCUUCUCUCUUUUCGUGCCUGUAAUAGGAACGCAAAAGGAAAGUAAUCCCUCUUCUCGCCUUUGGCAGUUUCUGCUUCAUCGAAUAUGUCCACAGAGCAGGCUCGCACUUUGCUCUACCUGGCGCUGAACGCUUUCAGCAGCAUCGGCAUCGUGUACACGAACAAAGUCAUCUUUACGCGGCACGGCUUCAGCUAUGGCACCCUCCUCACGGUGAUUCACUUCUUCAUCACGACCCUCGGGCUGUUCAUUUGCCGCAUGAUGGGUGUCUUCGAGCCGAAACGCAUACCCGUACUCAAGAUCCUACCCCUCUGCGUGGGCUUCUGCGGUUUUGUAGCGCUGAACAACGUGUCGCUGGUCUACAACACCAUUGGCUUUUAUCAGCUUAUCAAAGUGCUGACGACGCCCAUGCUGGUUGUCAUUCAGACCUUAUUCUAUCAAAAGACGUUUUCCGCGAAAGUGAAGCUCUCCUUGACGGUCACUUGCAUCGGCGUGGGUCUCUCCACGGUGAACGAUACCUCGGCCAACUUGGCGGGUACGGUGGUAGCCCUCUCGGCACUUCUUAUUACGUGUAUGUAUCAAAUUUGGGUGGGGACGAAGCAGAGUGAGUUUCACUGCGACAGCUUUCAGCUUCUCUAUAAUCAGGCACCCAUUUCGUGCGCCAUGCUGAUGCCGAUGGCCUACUUCGCCGACGAUCUUGCAAACAAGUACUACACGCCAUGCUGGCCCACUAUCAUAGUGAUCAUCUUCUCGGGCCUCCUGGCGUUUUUUGUGAACAUCUCCAUUUUCUUGGUGAUAGGCAAGACCUCCCCUGUGACGUACAACGUGCUGGGCCACUUCAAGCUAUGCGUCAUUCUCUCUCUCGGGUUUCUGUGGUUCGGCGACCAGAUGAAUGCACGUAUCUUCCUCGGCAUUGUAAUUACUCUAUUCGGAGUGUUCUGGUACACACAUCUAAAGAUGCAAGAAGGGGAGAAAGAGGAGGAUGCCAAGAUCCUGGCCAAGCACGAGGAAGAGCACGUCAGUGUCGGUGAAGGGGAUGAAAAGUACGUGUAGUAAUACAUCGUUUUUUUUGUUCCUUUCCAUUGCAUGCUUCUCCCUGAUAACGGGGAGGGGGCAUCCCAGUGCGUGGUAUCUCAGGGCCCAGUGCAUUCACAUUAUUCCACAGGGGGGGUGGCCGAGCAGCCCCCUCCCGCUAUCCCCUUUCCUGCCAGCUGCAGAGCCGCUUCUGCUGGUGACAGGGCCAUCCCCCCUACGACGUAGGGGGGGGUCAGAGCGAUGCAUCGCUGUUGAUGUCGGCGGUCGAGGCCCUGGAUGGCGUUGCAUCGGAGCCACCUGCGACAGCGAACGCGUCUGUGCCAUCCGCCUGAUGGGCGAAGUGUCGGCGUGACUCGAGCGCAUAUCAGACGGUCCUCGCUGCCUACUGGUGUGGGGAGCGUGAGCCACCCCGAGGGUCGCACGAGGUGGUGACCGGCACCAUGGGCAUGGCUGUGAGGCGACCUGCGAGGAGGCUGGGGGGGGGAGGAGCUCGAGGCAGGGGCCGAGCUCAGAUGACUGGGUCGGCGCAUUGCUGUAGCGCGCGCCUGCGGCUUCUUCGCACCACGUGGGUGGGGCCUGCGACUGGCCGGUGUAGAGGGGAGUGCUGCUCGUGCUUCUUGCCAGUUAAGGGAGAUGUUGCCGAAAAGAAUCUGCCGAACUCGUCCGCAUCUCUCUUCUCGAAGUCGUGAGCUCGCUCGCCCGUCAAAGCCGUUUUGUGCGUGCAAGUCUGGGCACGUGGCCUUGUGCGUGCUGCUCGGCAGUGAUAGCGAUGACUUUCUCAGGGAUGGGGACGGAGAGGACGAACGGAAGAAACGUGGCAGUUGGAGGCCACAAGAGCCGUUCGUGUCUUUCUUUUCGGCUCGUUUUCUCUUCUGCUUUAUGCACCGCACCGUAGAAAGAGUGCCGACUCCUCAAACAUGUGCGCGGCAGUACCUAACGGAUCCUGCGAGUUGGCAGGAGUAAGCAAAGCAGAAUGAGUUUCUUUCGCGAGCGCUUGUACGUCCCCUUCACUUCGGUGGACACCCUCUCCUCCCCCUCCCCCCUUUUCCGUCUUCGCUUUCCUGCGCGCCGAAACGAAAGAAAAGGGCAAAACCUUUUUUCUUUUCUAGGAAAAGUGCGUGCUUCCCGCCAGUGCUACCACGAUGUAUCUCUCUCUUUAUAACUUUUUUCCCACGGACAACAGACGUGUGCGACACGGUAAGGGCAGGUUCCUCUUUUGUUCUUUUGUUUUGUCGUCGUCCUUUGUGAAGAACUUGUCGCGCUGCAUCAAAAGGACACCUGCGGGUAUCGCACGCAUACCACGGGGAUACAACUCCUGUACUCAUUGAGACACGUUUUCGCCUCCACAUGGUCCCCUGCGCACCUCUUGUUUGCCGCUAAUAUUCACAGCUCUGACGCAAGUUUGCCUUUCCUUCUUUUUGUAAGCGCACUAUUCUUUUCAUCAUUCACAAAGAAGGGAGCUGCGCGAAGUUCCCUUACUCGCUGGUGGCGGAUAGUGCGGCAUUCAGGCAGGCACCCGGUCAGAAGCCGCCGCGAUGCUCUACUGCCACCAUGCACUCGUAGGCACCGCGGCAACAGGCUGCGGCCGCCUUGCUUGCAGCUGUCGCACGGAGUGUGAGGGAGUGGAGCUGGGGCUCGACCUGCUGCGGACACAGCACCAGCGCCGAAGACACAGGCAAUCGAGCGUGGCUGCGGCUGCGCACUCGCUCUCCCUCCUCACGACGCUCCGCACCGGCCUGACAGCGGUGGAGGAUGGCACAUCGCGACGCAUUGGCGGGGGGGGCACAGGUGCCGGCGCUGCUGGCCUGUCGCGUUCGCCCCUCACUCCAGCCCGUCUCUGGCCCUUGGGAGCUGGUGCACAACGACGUGGCGGGCACGCUUGCAAAGCCAGCCAUGCCAGGGGCGCCGACGCCGACUGCAUGGAUUGCGGACCCGGCCACCGGUCUCACACGCCAGGCCGACAGCCCCCGCUACGGCACUACACGAUGCGACACGCGCUCCUUGCCGGCGUCUGUCCCGCACCGAAGCGCAGGCAGGCGGUGCAGCAGGCGGCACCGCCACCCCUCCCCUGCCUGUGUUCGCUGUGAGGGCGGCAUACCAGGCGCUGUGCCCGGUAUGCUACGCGAGAUUCGCGGGUUGCUCGAAGCCCGAAGCGUAGCGCGCUUCGCGCUGUGGUCUUGCGCGCAGUGAUGCGGCUACGCGCACAUCUGCCUCGCGCUGCAUGCGCUUCCCCUGUCGCGUGUCUAUGGCUGCCCCCCCCCUCCCCCCUGUGUGCCCCUUCACAACGGCAAGCCGUGAGCUCGCUGUGCGCAGACACACGCUUACGCGCGGGUUCAGGAGAGGGUGGAAUGCCCCCGCCGCCACAGACGCACAGCAGCGAGCCGCACGGACAGCAACGCCGUCCGGAAACAGGCCCCAGGGCCCGAAAAUGCGAGCGCUGUGUGCAGCUGCGGUCAAGCACAGCACGCAUAGACGGUGUAUGACAUCCAAGAAGGCAUGCAGAGGUCAGAGGAGCACGAGUGAUGGACGGGAAAGGCGCGAAGAGACGCACACCGGUCAGCGCCACAGUGCAUGUGCGCGGCAUAUGCCGCAUCUCCUACAUCCGGCCGGGUGGGCUGAUGCGGCACGGACGCCGGCAGCAUGACGGGGGACACCCCGAGUUGCACCACCGACCCCACCAGGCCCCCAUGCGGAGAGUCUCCACACCACGUUACGGCGCGCAGCGGCCUGAGGCGAGUCAGGGCGAUGCACGGCACACAGGCCGGGUGCAGGGCCUCAGGGGGCCCUGGCCUGACUCUGGCCAACUUGCGGCUGGAGCUCAUCCGGCAUGCACCUGCAGUGCCCCUCCCCCUACCACCCGCACCACAGACGCCGCCGCCUCCGCCCUCGAGCAGGGCCGUGGACGCGGGCCGCUUCGGAUCGAUGGACGCCGUCCAGCCAAGCGCGUUCGCGCCGAUCGCGCAGCGCGCAUGCGUAGAAGGGACGAGGAAGGACGAGGGGAGCCCGCCAGACGCGUGCCCCCGACUCGACGGCAGAGCGGCUCGUCCUCGCGGACAGGAGCCUCGCCGUGGUGCAGCAGAGGCGGGUCAAGUGGUGUUGUUGUGUGCGUAUGCGUUUGCUGGCUUGCUUCUGGUAGAAUGGACACGCUGACAAAGGGCAUAAGAGAUCGGGGAGGAAUAAAAUUUUGUUUUCUGCUGAAGGCGGACUUCUUUUUCAGGUGACCGACGGCGGGCACAAGUACCUCAGGCAGCCGAUGCAGGGUGUGCUUGGAGGACGGCAGGAGAAGGAUGUCGUUGGACCAACCAAAGAACCGCAUUCUUUGUGCUGCUUCCUUUUCGUGUGUUUGUGCUGCUUGUUGGCCCCUGUGCUCUUGCGUGGACGGGGUGUGCUUUUGGGUACGGUUGGGGCCGAAUAGGGGAGAGUGAGGCAGCGGUUAUGAAGGCGAGAUCAGGCGGGAUGCAAGGGCUCAAUGAGGGGAGUGUGUGCGUGGGCUGUUUUGCUUCUCGGUUUCAUUGUUUUGUGCUCAAGUCCGACGCGACGCGGCUUCUUUCUCUGAGACCGUUGAAAGCGGAGGAAUAACGCUUCACUCAUUCGCAAAAGGCGCCAAGGCUCUUGCCCCACCUUUUUCUCUGCAUUUGUGCGACCGAUGGUCUCAACAAGAACGACAUGGCUUGUGACGGCUUUCGAUAGAUUGGUGAAGUACUCCAUGUUCUUGACGGCGAACGACAACACGUGUGUUUGUGUCGCUUGUGUCGCCUGCGGUUUUUCCUCUGGUAGAGCUGCCGCCUUGUUUUUCUCUCCUCACCAUGGAUACGAAACGAAGUGCUUCGUUGUUUUCUGUAAAGUCCUUUCACCGUUUUGUGUGGCUGUCUGCUUGUUGUUUGCUCGCGAGCACGCUUG
rnacentral:misc_RNA from 1 species